AUACGGAGGGUGCAAGCGUUAAUCGGAAUUACUGGGCGUAAAGCGCACGCAGGCGGUUUGUUAAGUCAGAUGUGAAAUCCCCGGGCUCAACCUGGGAACUGCAUCUGAUACUGGCAAGCUUGAGUCUCGUAGAGGGGGGUAGAAUUCCAGGUGUAGCGGUGAAAUGCGUAGAGAUCUGGAGGAAUACCGGUGGCGAAGGCGGCCCCCUGGACGAAGACGGACGCUCGGGUGCGAAAGCGUGGGGAGCAAACAGGAUUAGAUACCCUGGAUGUCCACGCCGUAAACGAUGUCCACUUGGAGGUUGUGCCCUUGAGGCGUGGCUUCCGGAGCUAACGCGUUAAGUCGACCGCCUGGGGAGUACGGCCGCAAGGUUAAAACUCAAAUGAAUUGACGGGG
rnacentral:rRNA from 1 species